UACGAGGGGGCGAGCGUUGUUCGGAAUUAUUGGGCGUAAGGGCUCGUAGGCGGUCUGUUGCGUCGGGAGUGAAACUCAGGCUUAACCCUGAGCCUGCUUCCGAUACGGCAGACUAGAGGUAUGCAGGGAGAACGGAAUCGUGGUGUAGCGGUGAAAUGCGCAGAUAUCAGGAGGAACACCGGUGGCGAAGGCGGUCUCCUGGGCGAUUACCUGACGCUGAGGAGCGAAAAGUGUCGGGGGGGAGGCGAAACAGGGA
rnacentral:rRNA from 1 species